rnacentral:tRNA from 1 species
UCCUGAUUAGUUCAGUUGGUAGAGAGCUCUACUGGAAAUAGAGAGGUUCCUGAUUCGAUACCAGGACCAGGCG